GUCAAUUCAUUUAAGUUUCACCGUUGCCGGCGUACUCCCCAGGUGGAUCACUUAACGCUUUCGCUGUGCCGCUUACACUGUAUCGCAAACAGCUAGUGAUCAUCGUUUACUGCGUGGACUACCAGGGUAUCUAAUCCUGUUUGAUCCCCACGCUUUCGUGCAUCAGCGUCAGUCAUGGCUUGGCAGGCUGCCUUCGCAAUCGGGGUUCUGCGUGAUAUCUAAGCAUUUCACCGCUACACCACGCAUUCCGCCUGCCUCAAACAUACUCAAGCCCCCCAGUUUCAACGGCAAUUCUAUGGUUGAGCCACAGACUUUCACCGCUGACUUAAAAGGCCGCCUACGCACCCUUUAAACCCAAUAAAUCCGGAUAACGCUCGGAUCCUCCGUAUUACCGCGGCGG
rnacentral:misc_RNA from 1 species